AUUAAAGGCUUCGAAAACCACACACUGCAGUUAACUGGAGGGUUUGUAAGUACAGCUGAAGCAUCUUCUACCACCACCAACAAUGUCUGGAUAAAGAUAAAAUGUUCUGGACUUCAAGAGUACAAAACAUCUAAAAGCCCCAGUCAUGGACCAGGACCCAACUGUGCUCUGCACUGUACAAACACGGAACAAAAAGACAGUCUCUGCCCCAAAGAUCUUAUAAUCUAAGUACAAGACAAGACACAACAGAUGGAUACAGACCGAUCGGGAAGUCUAAAAAAACAAUGGGACAAUAAUGGUCAGCAUGAUUGGCUGUGGUCUCAGCACAUCAGCAGCCUAUGUAACUGAACUACAUAACCUGUGAAAAUGAACUCAUUUGUGUAUGAAUCUAAGUGUCUCGGUUUGGAAGGCUUAGAAGAUUUUAGGGUAUUGGUAACAGAAAUGUCUGUUGUGACAAGCUUUGUCACAAAUAAUUCUUUAUUUUCCUGAGUUUUCUCACCAUCCAAGGAGUGCGUGGGUGAAUCCUAAUAGUCUGAUGGCAUUGAACAAGACCAAAAAGCACUACUCCAGUGCAACAAGGGUUCAACACGCCGCUAAAUUAAAAUAAAAAAACCCAUGAAACUUCCCAGAGGAAGGCUUGACUCUUCUAAAAUGCAGGCCAUUUGGGAACAAAUUAAAAUUUGAGAUUUCUGAUCCCUUAUUUCACAAUCUCUUCUGCUGAGCCAUGACACUACCUUUCUCCUGUUAAAAAAGGAGAAUAUCUGUUAGUCCUGAUUACACACACAAAAUCUAGUUCCUCCAAGAAAAGAAAUUCUUAAAAAGUCUUUAAAUGUUUCAGACUCUGAUAUUCUGUGGUAAUUGAGAAGGUUGAUAUUAGCAGCAGAUAUUGGUACAUGAAUUGUUCAAAGCUCAUACUGUAUGAACUUACCCACAUAUACAAUUUAAAUGUUUUUUUUUUCUGUAAUAGUAGCUAUACUAAUGAUGGAAGCUAGCAGUUAUAGGAGUCCUAUUUAGAAACCUGUAACAAAGCUACUUGUGUGGCGUU